rnacentral:rRNA from 1 species
AUUGAACGCUGGCGGCAUGCCUUACACAUGCAAGUCGAACGGUAACAGGUUAAGCUGACGAGUGGCGAACGGGUGAGUAAUAUAUCGGAACGUGCCCAGUCGUGGGGGAUAACGUAGCGAAAGCUACGCUAAUACCGCAUACGAUCUACGGAUGAAAGCGGGGGAUCGCAAGACCUCGCGCGAUUGGAGCGGCCGAUAUCAGAUUGGGUUGUUGGUGAGGUAAAAGCUCACCAAGCCUGCGAUCUGUAGCUGGUCUGAGAGGACGACCAGCCACACUAGAACUGAGGCACGGUCCAGACUCCUACGGGGGGCAUCAGUGGGGAAUAUUGGACAAUGUGCGAAAGCCUGAUCCAGCCAUGCCGCGUGUGUGAAGAAGGUCUUCGGAUUGUAAAGCACUUUAAGUCGGGAGGAAGGGCUGUAGGUUAAUACCCUGCGGUUUUGACGUUACCGACAGAAUAAGCACCGGCUAACUUCGUGCCAGCCGCCGCUGUAA